rnacentral:rRNA from 1 species
GAUGAACGCUGGCGGCGUGCCUAAUACAUGCAAGUCGAGCGAACAGACGAGGAGCUUGCUCCUCUGACGUUAGCGGCGGACGGGUGAGUAACACGUGGAUAACCUACCUAUAAGACUGGGAUAACUUCGGGAAACCGGAGCUAAUACCGGAUAAUAUAUUGAACCGCAUGGUUCAAUAGUGAAAGACGGUUUUGCUGUCACUUAUAGGUGGAUCCGCGCCGCAUUAGCUAGUUGGUAAGGUAACGGCUUACCAAGGCAACGAUGCGUAGCCGACCUGAGAGGGUGAUCGGCCACACUGGAGCUUGGACACGCUCCAGACUCCUACGGGAGGCAGCAGUAGGGAAUCUUCCGCAAUGGGCGAAAGCCUGACGGAGCAGCGCCGCGUGAGUGAUGAAGGUCUUCGGAUCGUAAAACUCUGUUAUUAGGGAAGAACAAAUGUGUAAGUAACUAUGCACGUCUUGACGGUACCUAAUCAGAAAGCCACGGCUAACUACGUG